GAAGUUGCCCAUCAAUGAAAAAUAUAGCUUUUGUCAUCCACUUGGGCAAAGGUUUCGUAGAACAGUUUCCAAAAACCAGACGUCCCGUUUCAGGCCAGAUACGUCCCGUUUAAGCAGCUCUGAACCACAAAGGAUGACAUGCGUUGCAUGGAGGUGGUGCGUUGUGCGGUAAAAGCAACACAAAACCCCUUUAGAAACCAGCGCUGAAGAAAAAGUGACACCCCUGGUGAGAUAUAGGAUGGCCCUUCGUAGCUCCGAUCAGCUGAGGAACGUCAGAUAAAGCCAGCCGGGUGUAACAGACAACAGGUAAAAAAAGGAUAUUCUUCUGGUUUAAGAAGAAGAAGAAAAAGUCUAUAUCCCUUCUACUAAACCAGGGUUUAGUAGAAGACACUUCGGCUGAGUUGGAGCAGCUCUUCAGAGGGAAUCAAUGAUCAAACCUCACCCACACA